rnacentral:rRNA from 1 species
AGUGAACGCUGGCGGUAGGCCUAACACAUGCAAGUCGAACGGCAGCACAGUAAGAGCUUGCUCUUACGGGUGGCGAGUGGCGGACGGGUGAGGAAUACAUCGGAAUCUACUUUUUCGUGGGGGAUAACGUAGGGAAACUUACGCUAAUACCGCAUACGACCUACGGGUGAAAUCAGGGGAUCUUCGGACCUUGCGCGAUUGAAUGAGCCGAUGUCGGAUUAGCUAGUUGGCGGGGUAAAGGCCCACCAAGGCGACGAUCCGUAGCUGGUCUGAGAGGAUGAUCAGCAACACUGGAACUGAGACACGGACCAGACUACUACGGGAGGCAGCAGUGGGGAAUAUUGGACAAUGGGCGCAAGACUGAUACAGCAAUACCGCGUGGGUGAAGAAGGACUUCGGGUUGUAAAGAACUUUUGUUGGGAAAGAAAAGAAGCAGGUUAAUACAAAGAUGUUAUGACGGUAACAAAAGAAUAAGCACCGGCUAACUUCGUG